rnacentral:rRNA from 1 species
ACAGGUCCUUCGGGAUGCUGACGAGCGGCGGACGGGUGAGUAAUGCUUAGGAAUCUGCCUGGUAGUGGGGGAUAGCCCGGGGAAACCCGGAUUAAUACCGCGUACGCCCUUCGGGGGAAAGCAGGGGAUCUUCGGACCUUGCGCUAUCAGAUGAGCCUAAGCCGGAUUAGCUAGUUGGUAGGGUAAAGGCCUACCAAGGCGACGAUCCGUAGCUGGUCUGAGAGGAUGAUCAGCCACAUCGGGACUGAGACACGGCCCGAACUCCUACGGGAGGCAGCAGUGGGGAAUAUUGGACAAUGGGGGCAACCCUGAUCCAGCCAUGCCGCGUGUGUGA